GGGCUGGUGAUGAAAUGCAAGAGGUAGCCGGACACUCGUGAGCAGGGCUCAUAUGUCCAGCUGAGCGAGUGCAGGCUUCACUGCUCAUACUGAAGCCC